rnacentral:rRNA from 1 species
AAUACCGCAUAAGCGCACAGCUUCGCAUGAAGCAGUGUGAAAAACUCCGGUGGUAUACGAUGGAUCCGCGUCUGAUUAGCUGGUUGGCGGGGUAAAGGCCCACCAAGGCGACGAUCAGUAGCCGGCCUGAGAGGGUGAACGGCCACAUUGGGACUGAGACACGGCCCAAACUCCUACGGGAGGCAGCAGUGGGGAAUAUUGCACAAUGGGGGAAACCCUGAUGCAGCGACGCCGCGUGAGUGAAGAAGUAUUUCGGUAUGUAAAGCUCUAUCAGCAGGGAAGAAAUAAAGUCCUUCGGACUUUGGACGGUACCUGACUAAGAAGCCCCGGCUAACUACGUGCCAGCAGCCGCGGUAAUACGUAGGGGGCAAGCGUUAUCCGGAUUUACUGGGUGUAAAGGGAGCGUAGACGGCAGCGCAAGUCUGGAGUGAAAUCCCAUGGCUUAACCAUGGAACUGCUUUGGAAACUGUGCAGCUAGAGUGCAGGAGAGGUAAGCGGAAUUCCUAGUGUAGCGGUGAAAUGCGUAGAUAUUAGGAGGAACACCAGUGGCGAAGGCGGCUUACUGGACUGUAACUGACGUUGAGGCUCGAAAGCGUGGGGAGCAAACAGGAUUAGAUACCCUGGUAGUCCACGCUGUAAACGAUGAUUACUAGGUGUUGGGGGACCAAGGUCCUUCGGUGCCGGCGC